rnacentral:rRNA from 1 species
UCCGGGGGGGGCAAGCGUUGUUCGGAAGUACUGGGCGUAAAGGGCUCGUAGGCGGCCAACUAAGUCAGACGUGAAAUCCCUCGGCUUAACCGGGGAACUGCAUCUGAUACUGGAUGGCUUGAGUUCGGGAGAGGGAUGCGGAAUUCCAGGUGUAGCGGUGAAAUGCGUAGAUAUCUGGAGGAACACCGGUGGCGAAGGCGGCAUCCUGGACCGACACUGACGCUGAGGAGCGAAAGCCAGGGGAGCAAACGGG